UAGGCUGUAAUGAGUCCUUCAGAAACUGUUAUGAUCUACAAUGACAGUCUCUGCACCUAAUUCAAAGAUUAUUGACAAGCACUGUGGGCUCAGUGGUGUCAAGUUGUACUUGUGGUUUCAACACCCUUCAGCAACCCACAUAGCAGCUGGGCCCUGGAUUAGGACCCAGAUUCUGCCAGAGCUUAUCUGCCCGUUGAGUGGUAGAGAGAUGAGUAUCUGUCUAUAUCUCAGCUCCCUCAAGCCGGGCUGGGCUUUCUCCCUGGCGCCUUGUCUGUCUCAGGGUUGGGUCAAGGGAAAGAUAAAGGCUCUUCAAAGCUUACAAACAAAGCAAAAGAGGAAAUUUAGGAAAUUUAAUAAAUGAGGGCUCAUCCUUGAACCUUGGUCUUAACAAUCAAUCAGUCAUCAAUCAUCUUCUCCACCCCCAAAUAGUUACCAAACUCCAAGCCACAUACCCCAGCUUUCAUAGUGAGGCUUGGGUUCAUCAGGAAGGGAGAGGUAUGGAGGGGAGUGGGGACUGGGAACUUGGCACAGACUCAGUGGGCCCAAGCUAGCAUGGCCCAUCCUCCAGGACUGCCCUCAGAAUGGGGCAAGAUUGACCACUCUUAAAGCAGGGCGCUCAGCCAAGAGGCGCGGGCUCGGGCCUGGUCGCUGAGACAAGAGACCCCAAAUGCCCGCUCCACCCCUGAAGGGCGCUUUGCUCCUGCAGAAAAACGCGGCCCGUUGCCAGCCCGGGUGGUUUUGCCUGCUUCUAAGGAGUCAGUCGCUCGCUGCCCCCUCCCCAGUCUCCAAAGAUGGAAGGGCUGCCUUCCCGCUGGCCGCCCGUGGGGCGUGGGAUUCCGGCAGGGGCUGAGGCCGCCUGAAACCACAGAAAUGACACUGCGCUGGGAAAGCUGGGUGGUAUUCCCAGGCCUAGGCCACCCACUUCUUUAGUUCUCUUUCAUAAACUAGGGGUUGCGCUUUCUCCCUGGGCCUGGGAAGUUGAGGACACACAGCCCGCCUGCAGCCAGGUGCGGCUCCGCCCCUACCCCCCCGGCUUCGCCCUCCUGGUUGGGACCCCCGGGGGUGGAACGGGGUCAACAUCUCCAGAGCACUGGUAUUGCAAAUUCGACAUCACUUCCGAAUAGCAGGCAUGUAUCCCCUUUCGCGGGCCGCCUCCAAGAUUCUGCUGGCUUUGGCCUCCCCACGCCACCGGCAGCCUUGGACCGCGGCUGUCACGCACCGUUUGUUGGCGCUGGUUCCAAAACUGGCCCGGACUUAAUACUUCGGUAACGGGGACUCGUUUUUUUUUUUUUUUUGUUUGUUUGUUUUUGGGGCUUUUUGUUUUGUUUUGCUUUGCUUUUUGGUAAAGCAAAGGGUGGGGUUGCCUGUAGCAGGGUAUCCCGCUUGCCCGUUAUUUCGAUAGGAUUCCGGUUAAGAACUGAUCAAAGCCUUGAUUCUUUUCCUGCCACGGUAUCCAAAGUCAUUUAUUGAGAAACACAAGCCGAGAUUCGAUUCUGGAAUCAGAUGGAGAAGACAUCUCUCAUCGCACUGAACACCAAUUCCCCUGAAAACACAAUCUCGGACUCGCUGAUUUGGGCAGGUGGGAGGAAUAAACGAUAAUUUGGAUUCCUGGUCAUUGAAAAUGCUGAAUUUCAAAAGAAAAUACUCUAUCAUUGGCACACCUUCCCUGAAAUCCUACGGCUGAGCUGCUGAGAUAAAAGAAGAAAGGUGUCAGGCACCUGUUUCUUAAAAAAUACCUGGAAUUUAACCACCAUCCCGGAAAGGAAAAGUUUGAUCAAGAUUGGUUUGGGGGAUGGGAAACAUUCAAAGCAGAGACUGGCCUCUUAAUUACACUCUGAAAAUAAACAAAAAACGAGCAAGUUAUUUCAUUUACUCAGGGACUCAGUUACAAUUCUUGAAGGACCUCGGAGGGCAUUCAAGAUGCUGCUGACAAAGUCAAAACAGCAAGCAGCAGCAUCUUCCAUUUUAUUUUAUUUUUUUUUAAUGUGGACAGAAUGGGAGAAGUAAUUUGCUUGGUUUUCCACUGCUACAGAAGAAAGUUCUCUCUCUCUCUCUUUUAAUCAUGCUUCUCUACCUGUUUUACUAUCUCAGAAUCUAAAAAGAGUCCCAAACCCAAAAGGGGGUAGGGGGUGGCUGGGAUGUGAGAAGGAAUAGGUUAGUCUUUAUUUUUUAUUGAAUUAAAAUUGUAUCAUAUCCUUUUUAUUUUUUAUUGAAUUAAAUUAUAUUAUCUUUCAAGGAUAUAAAAACUUGUUUCCUCGCCCCAUCUCCUUUUUGGAGGGUAAUAAAGAGUUUUAUCUAACCCCAGAGCAAGGUUCUCGCGAUUUCCAGGACUGGCGCUGUGCAUCUCCUACUGUGUCCAACAGGGGGCGCUGGUCACGAACCUGCGCCGCGGCUCAGCGCCGCUUCACAUCUGAGCCGGGUUCCAGCCCCGGAAGGCGAGAGCCGCUCGCGGGGUCGAGUACAGAGCUUUAGUCUUCGUGGAUAAAAAGAGAUUAAAGGCUAAAUUCUUUUUUUGGGUGUGUGUGUGUGGGGGGGGGGGAGGGUUAUCAAUUUUAACCAACUACGAAAAUGUAGAGCUUUUUAUCCUUUGAUGUUCUUAUAAAGAAACUCCUAUUGGUUGAGGAAUUACACGGUUUCUGAGCCAACACUGCAGCUACAGUGUGGGGGAAAUUAUUUAAUUAAAAAUAUAUUUUUCCAUCUGUUCACAUGAUCUUUUUAGAAGUACUUAAAAAGCUGACACUGAUCCCUUUGGCCUGUUAACCCUGCCCUAAGUUUCAAAUACUUUAGCUAUUUCGAAGGCCCUUCUAUUAAUUUGAAGGGGAAAAAUAAGAGACCCAAAUAUUUAAAUCCCCCCUAAACAUUUACUGUUCUGCAUCCUCCUCCUUUUUUCCCUGAAACAGUGGCUUUUGUGUGAUUGACAUAUUUUACAACUGCCGAUUCUGCAAAGCCAGGUAUAAAUGACAAGAAGUGGCUCUAAAAAAAAUCUGAUGUUGGACUACAUAACACCCAUGUAUAAGAUGAAAUCUAAAUAAUAUUGUAAUCCACCCACCCCCCAUCCUAACUUAAAAAAAAAAAAAAACCUUCACCUGUAUUUAAAUAGCGUGUCUUUAAUUACAGCAGUUGGGGAUGCAUGAGGCUGAAAUGAAAUUAGCAGUCAUUACCAGUCCUUUAACUCUGUGGUGCUUUUGAUCAGCACUAAAUUAGCUUUCCAGUCCUAACAAAGACUCUACAGCAAGCAGUGGGCUGUAAAUAAGACAGCGCGACCUGCCCUCAACACCUUUUCUCUUGUCAAUCAUAGCUCUAUCAUUCAGCCCAAGAUUAACCUUUAUCUACCAAAUUUAAAAAAAAAAAAAGAACGAAAGAAAGAAGAAAAAGAAAAAAGAAAAAGGAGGCGGGAAGGAAAGCCCCCUGACCACCACAUAUCGCAGUAACAGAGGUUCCUAAGAGGCCCCUUUAAAUUGUAUUCUAAUGAGCUUGUGUCAGAAUCUGCAAUUUCCAAAUCAUCCCCCCCACCAGCCCCCAAGACCUCUUCAGUAUAUUAGAAGAGUCAGAAUGCUGUUCAGGUAGGAAAAGAAUCCCUUUCUCCGAAUUACUAAUUGGGCAUGGGCCACCCUCCAUAGGUCAAUCUGCCAAUAGCCUCUCUAUUAGUCUAACAAAAUUUUGGGAGAGGAGGAGAUGUUUGAGGAGAAAACAUUGAUAAUUUUAAGGCAUAUACAUAAGUUUCUGGGAUGAAAACAAUCAAUUUACUCCACUAAUAGUCUCUAGUUUCUAAGCCUGCGGAGAAAAACCACCAACAGCAACAACAAAAACCCAGCUGCUUUUCCCAGUACUGAAUUAAGAAAGUAAAACAUUGGGUCAGAUUGCCAUUAGAGGGCGCCAGAGAGCAAGCCCCAUCACCUCUCGCACAACUUCCCACAGAAGCCCUCCUAGCUUCCAGCUCCGCCAUGCUCUGUGAUUCCUUCUCUCAGUUUCCUAAGCGGAAGUGAAAACAAGGUUUGAUGAUGAGGCUUCGAGAAGGGAGAAGGGCCGGGGAGAAAUAUGAGAGAGAGAGAGCACGAGGGAGAGGAAGA